rnacentral:tRNA from 1 species
AGCGGAUGGGUGAAAUGGAUAUAUCACGCGGUCCUCAUAAGUCCGAGAUAGCGGGUUCGACUCCCGUGUCCGCUCCCA